GAGGAGCAGGACACAGGCAGUGACCUACAAAACUUAAAUGACACAAGUGGUGAAUGCCGGAAGCAGCAUGAACAAGAGGAAAAUGCAAGACUCUCUGCUGCCAACACCAUCAUGCAGCUUUGCCAUGUUACGCUAACCCCAGAUGUGCCUGCAGCAGCAGCUCACGCUACUACUCCUGAGGAGCAGGACACAGGCAGUGCCCUGCAAGACUUCAGUGACAC